UACGUAGGGUGCGAGCGUUGUCCGGAAUUAUUGGGCGUAAAGGGCUCGUAGGCGGUUUGUCGCGUCGGGAGUGAAAACCUUGGGCUUAACUCAGGGCUUGCUUUCGAUACGGGCAGACUAGAGGUAUGCAGGGGAGAACGGAAUUCCUGGUGUAGCGGUGAAAUGCGCAGAUAUCAGGAAGAACACCCGUGGCGAAGGCGGCUCUCUGGGACGGUACUGACGCUGAGACGCGAAAGCGUGGGGAGCGAACAGG
rnacentral:rRNA from 1 species